rnacentral:rRNA from 1 species
UACGGGGGGGGCAAGCGUUGUUCGGAAUUACUGGGCGUAAAGGGCUCGUAGGUGGCCAACUAAGUCAGACGUGAAAUCCCCAGGCUCAACUUGGGAACUGCGUCUGAUACUGGAUGGCUUGAAUUCGGGAGAGGGAUGCAGAAUUCCAGGUGUAGCGGUGAAAUGCGUAGAUAUCUGGAGGAAUACCGGUGGCGAAGGCGGCAUCCUGGACCAUUACUGACACUGAUCCGCGAAAGCUAGGGGAGCAAACGGG